rnacentral:rRNA from 1 species
GACGAACGCUAGCGGCGUGCUUAACACAUACAAGUCGAACGGUAAGGCCCUUCGGGGUACACGAGUGGCGAACGGGUGAGUAACACGUGGGUGAUCUGCCCUGCACUUCGGGAUAAGCCUGGGAAACUGGGUCUAAUACCGGAUAGGACCCUGGGAUGCAUGUCCUGGGGUGGAAAGCUUUUGCGGUGUGGGAUGGGCCCGCGGCCUAUCAGCUUGUUGGUGGGGUGAUGGCCUACCAAGGCGACGACGGGUAACCGGCCUGAGAGGGUGACCAGUCACACUGGGACUGAGAUACGGCCCAGACUCCUACGGGAGGCAGCAGUGGGGAAUAUUGCACAAUGGGCGCAAGCCUGAUGCAGCGACGCCGCGUGAGGGAUGACGGCCUUCGGGUUGUAAACCUCUUUCAGCACGGACGAAGCGCAAGUGACGGUAGGUGCAGAAGAAGGACCGGCCAACUACGUGCCAGCCGCCGCGGUAA